UUGAGCCGAAUGCUGGGAAACUCGCAUGUUCGGUUCUUAGGAGGGUUGGGAGCAGCGAUGCUCCCCGCCUAUCCGAC
rnacentral:ncRNA from 1 species